UACAGAGGUCUCAAGCGUUGUUCGGAUUCAUUGGGCGUAAAGGGUGCGUAGGCGGCGCGGUAAGUCGGGUGUGAAAUCUCGGAGCUUAACUCCGAAACUGCAUUCGAUACUGCCGUGCUUGAGGACUGGAGAGGAGACUGGAAUUUACGGUGUAGCGGUGAAAUGCGUAGAUAUCGUAAGGAAGACCAGUGGCGAAGGCGGGUCUCCGGACAGUUCCUGACGCUGAGGCACGAAGGUCAGGGGAGCAAACGGG
rnacentral:rRNA from 1 species